AAGAGAACCAAGAGGAUUUCAGAGAUACCAUCCCACAUCCUGACAUUAUGUAGCUCCUGAACCAUCUAUAUCUAUGGAUCUUGCUACGUGAGAUAAUCGGAAGAAACAAAAACAAGCUGUGAAGAAGGAACGUUUUCUAAAGCCUCUUUUACCCCCAGGAUGGUUGAAAAGUCAGAGGCCUGCAAUGCCAGGAAGAGAGGGUCUAAAAUGUCCUUUUCACUGUGAUGGAAGUAGGCUCUCCAGCAGUCCCAGAAGACUUUCACAAGAAGAGUUUCAGACAAUAGAAAAUAAGCCUAAGUGAUUGUGUGGUAUGUCCAUCAAAAGAAUAUUACAGAGCAACAGAGAAAAUGUGGAUCACUCCAACUCUAGCACAAGGUCGGGGAGGAAAAAAAUCAGAGAGUUUGGAAUUUCUAAGUGCUCGUGUUUGAGUAAUGGGGAGCAUCACAAACUAACAGCAGAGGUGGACAUUUUUUACAGGGUAAAGAAUUCCCAUGGAA